UACGGAGGGUGCAAGCGUUAAUCGGAAUUACUGGCGUAAAGCGCACGCAGGUGGCUGAGUCAGUCGAUUGUGAAGCCCUGGGCUUAACCUGGGAAUUGCAGUCGAUACUACUCAGCUAGAGUAUGGGAGAGGGUAGUGGAAUUCCCGGUGUAGCGGUGAAAUGCGUAGAGUAUCGGGAGGAACGAUCAGUGGCGAAGGCGGC
rnacentral:rRNA from 1 species